UACGUAGGGGGCAAGCGUUGUCCGGAAUCAUUGGGCGUAAAGAGCGCGUAGGCGGCCCUGUAAGUCCGCUGUGAAAGUCGAGGGCUCAACCCUCGAAUGCCGGCCGAAACUGCCGGGCUAGAGUCCGGAAGAGGCGAGUGGAAUUCCCGGUGUAGCGGUGAAAUGCGCAGAUAUCGGGAGGAACACCAAUGGCGAAGGCAGCUCGCUGGGACGGUACUGACGCUGAGACGCGAAAGCGUGGGGAGCAAACAGG
rnacentral:rRNA from 1 species